rnacentral:rRNA from 1 species
UACGGAGGGUGCAAGCGUUAUCCGGAAUCACUGGGUUUAAAGGGUGCGUAGGCGGCUUGGUAAGUCCGUUGUGAAAGCCACCAGCUUAACUGGGAGGACUGCGAUGGAUACUGCUGAGCUUGAAUCAGGUUGAGGCAGGCGGAAUGCGACAUGUAGCGGUGAAAUGCUUAGAUAUGUCGUGGAACACCAAUUGCGAAGGCAGCUUACUAGACCUGUAUUGACGCUGAGGCACGAAAGCGUGGGGAGCAAACAGG